UAAUGGGGUUCUGUGUUCACAGCUGAGUUAUUUAAACUGUCUGAUUUGGUCCACAGCUUCCUUGGACAUUAAUAGGUUGACUGCUAUGUCGCUGAACUUGGUGCAUGAAAGGUCAGCCUUUGAAACGCUAAAUAAGUUGAAGAAGAUGUAUGAAGUAUAUAUGGAAAAGUAUGCAUCCUACAGUAGCAUUUGUAUUAAAGGACCGCUUUGUGGGAGGAUUAACUCUGAUGGAGGACAGUCACUAAUAUUCUUCAUGGCAGAGUACGGCCUUCUGCAUCCCUGGGAAAUACCAUGAUGCUCCUUCUCUCUUUCAAAGGAAGCACAGCUGUCUAUGCUGCUUGUGACCCUCGAGACCAACGUAGGCUCCUUGUUGGUGCAUGUAGGUCUCCCUCCAGCAGUGAGGAAGGCCAGCCAAAUAACAGCACCAAACACUGCAGAGAGUCCGGGCUUGCAUUAAUCUCUGUGGCCAGAAAGCAAAUGCUUAAGCAGCUCUACUUUCUGACCAGUUUUGUAACUUAAUUUUCUUUUCAAUCCUGACUGCCUUCUCCCAUCCCCUGUACUUUUAUCCCACUUAUUUCACCUUCUCAUUGGGCCCUUCUCGGCCUCUCAGUUGGACUGGUGUGACCUUCUGAGCUGGGAAGCGGCAGUCUUUAAGCAUAGAACAAAGUUUGUGCUAUACUUUCUGAGCCUGAGAACUACAAGAAUACCACAGAGAGGUAUUGUUUUCCUCCUCUUCUGCUACUCUGUAGGUUGGAACACUUAGUUGAGUGAAUUAUGUGCUAAUCGACAUCUAACAACUCAUAUUGGAUUGAAGCCACAUAUGCAUACAGGGCAUAGGUGCUCCUGUUGGUCAGCUGGACUGUCCCUGGGACCAUCUGGCACCCCUCUUUGGCCUCCCUAUCUCUGCCAUUAUGUUUACUGACCAGCUGCUUUUCCUUCUUGCCAUUGACAAAGGUUCCUAAGCCACAGUUUCCCCUUGCUUCCAAAGGAGACAAAGGAGAAAUGCUACAGCCUUUCACUGUCUUAGAGUGGUCCUGAGUUUCUGGUGCCCUGAGGCCCCAGCCCUGGUUCACAGAUUGCUUUCUCCUCUUCAACGCUGUUCUCACAGUAAAUAGGACAUUGACUUUAGCUACCCCAGUGAAUUAUUGCUCACCUGGCCACAAGCCCAGGGUAAUCUAUUCCACUUCCACAAAUUAAUAAAUUCAUAAGCAAUACAAGAGUGACA
rnacentral:lncRNA from 1 species